UCCUUGAUGUAAAAGGCUGGCUAGCGAUA
rnacentral:piRNA from 1 species